CGGCAUGCCUAACACAUGCAAGUCGAACGAUCCCUUCGGGGAUAGUGGCGCACGGGUGCGUAACGCGUGGGAACCUGCCCUUAGGUUCGGAAUAACUCAGAGAAAUUUGAGCUAAUACCGGAUAAUGUCUUCGGACCAAAGAUUUAUCGCCUUUGGAUGGGCCCGCGUUGGAUUAGCUAGUUGGUGGGGUAAAGGCCUACCAAGGCGACGAUCCAUAGCUGGUCUUAGAGGAUGAUCAGCCACACUGGGACUGAGACACGGCCCAGACUCCUACGGGAGGCAGCAGUGGGGAAUAUUGGACAAUGGGCGAAAGCCUGAUCCAGCAAUGCCGCGUGAGUGAUGAAGGCCCUAGGGUUGUAAAGCUCUUUUACCCGGGAUGAUAAUGACAGUACCGGGAGAAUAAGCUCCGGCUAACUCCGUGCCAGCCGCCGCAGUAAUAC
rnacentral:rRNA from 1 species